rnacentral:rRNA from 1 species
AACGAACGCUAGCGGCAGGCCUAAUACAUGCAAGUCGAACGGUGUCUUCGGACAUAGUGGCGCACGGGUGCGUAACACGUAUGCAACCUACCUUACAUUGGGGGAUAGCCUUUCGAAAGGGAGAUUAAUACCGCAUAAGACAGUAGCUGGGCAUCCAGUAGCUGUUAAAGAUUUAUCGAUGUAAGCUGGGCAUGCGUCCAAUUAGCUAGUUGGUGAGGUAACGGCUCACCAAGGCAAUGAUUGGUAGGGGAACUGAGAGGUCAAUCCCCCACACUGGCACUGAGAUACGGGCCAGACUCCUACGGGAGGCAGCAGUAGGGAAUAUUGGGCAAUGGACGCAAGUCUGACCCAGCCAUGCCGCGUGCAGGAUGAAGGCGUUAUGCGUUGUAAACUGCUUUUAUACAGGAAGAAACGACUCUUGCGAGAGGCAUUGACGGUACUGUAUGAAUAAGCACCGGCUAACUCCGUGCCAGCAGCCGCGGUAACAC